rnacentral:rRNA from 1 species
AUUGAACGCUGGCGGCAGGCCUAACACAUGCAAGUCGAGCGAGCGGCGGACGGGUGAGUAAUGUAUGGGGACUGCCCGAUAGAGGGGGAUAACUACUGGAAACGGUAGCUAAUACCGCAUACUAUCGGAUAACCCAUAUGGGAUUAGCUAGUAGGUGAGGUAAUGGCUCACCUAGACGACGAUCCCUAGCUGGUCUGAGAGGAUGAUCAGCCACACUGGGACUUAGACACGGCCCAGACUCCUACGGAGGCAGCAGUGGGGAAUAUUGGACAAUGGGGGCAACCCUGAUGCAGCCAUCCCGCGUGUAUGAAGAAGGCCUUAGGGUUGUAAAGUACUUUUAGCCGAGAGGCGUUAUCCGCAGAAGAAGCACCGGCUAACUCCGUGCCAGCAGCCGCGGUAAUAC